GACGAACGCUGGCGGCGCGCCUAACACAUGCAAGUCGAACGGAGCUUGAGAGAGCUUGCUUUUUUAAGCUUAGUGGCGAACGGGUGAGUAACGCGUGAGUAACCUGCCCUGGAGUGGGGGACAACAGUUGGAAACGACUGCUAAUACCGCAUAAGCCCACGGAACCGCAUGGUUCAGAGGGAAAAGGAGCAAUUCGCUCUGGGAUGGACUCGCGUCCGAUUAGCUGGAUGGUGAGGUAACGGCCCACCAUGGCGACGAUCGGUAGCCGGACUGAGAGGUUGAUCGGCCACAUUGGGACUGAGACACGGCCCAG
rnacentral:rRNA from 1 species